GUCUGAAAUUAUCCUUUUUUAUUAAACUGCAGUGUUUGGAUGAGGGAGAUAAAGGAGAUUUGGAGGGAGAUAGAAAUCCUGAGAUCAAUGUCCCUUGUUUGGCAAAAUGACGUGAAGGGACCUGAUUUUGGCGGGAUUUUAACGAAGGAUCUGAACAAGCCCCCUCCAUAGGCGUAACUUUCAAAUUCUCCGCGACGGUGCGAAACUCGCGAUUUGCUUAUGGCUUUCGUCUUCCUCCCUAGCUAAUCUCUAUGUUCCAUGUCGUCUAUGGGCUUUCGUGUUCUGUUUCUAUUAUAGGGUUGAUUCACUCCCAAUUCUGGUUUUGUCUUCUUCAUCUCAACUUCUUCAUUGCCUUCAUCGAAGAAAACAACACUGAUCAUCUUGGGUUGAAGGAUUUCACGAACCCACUGUUCCUCUCUCUCGGAUUUGAUGGCAAGCAAAUUGGGUUGCAAAAUUGAAGGAAAAUCUUCGAAUCAAGGUAAAUGACAGAAAGAGCUACAAUUCUGCAUUGUUCUCUGUUUGGGCUUUAUUACAUUCAUUGUUAUUGUUCUUGUUCUUAACCUUGUGUACUGUAACUGUUUCAACUAUGCAUAAGCUAUUUGCCAUAUCAAAUUGUUAAUUGCUUAAUUAGAUUAAGCCAGAUUGAGGCUGGUCCUUGUUAAGUUUUGACUGCAUUGAGCAGAAUCUUUAUUUGCAUUUUAUGCUAGAUUAUAGAUUAGCUAUGGUAGUUAAUUAGUUGAAUAUGAUGCUUCAGUGGUAAUAUAUUGAUUUGUUGUUUGAAGUUUUGAAACAGGAAAGUUGUAGAGAAAGAGUGAAUCCCAAUAUUUCUUGAGGCUGAAAUGAGUUGCCUCUGAUCUAGGGAACUCAGGUUUCAGUGACUUUCUGGUUUUUCUGCAUUUGCUUCUGUUUGGUUCAUUUCAUGUGUUGGCUUCUCAUCUUUUCUCUUUCCUCUGAAUUACUGGGUUGGUUGGUGAAAAGGUUGAGAGAUAACACAAAGAAGAUUUUGGUUCUUAUCGUAUUCUGUUUCUGUGGGUGAUAGAGAAGAGUCCAGAGUUGUAGAGAUUGAGAGUGAUAUGGAGCGUUCUAUUUAUAGCAUUUAGUUUCAGCAUAUUCUUUAAUUUACCACUGAAGCAUCAGAUUCAACUUACCAUUUCCAUUUAAUCAGUAUUCAUAGGCAUCUUAGUGCUUCUUAUACGUGUCUCAGAUAAUAGGACAUUGUUUUCUUAUUGAAGAAAGAACUUGUUCUUUUUCAUUGACCAGGCAUGAUACGGUAUAUAUCAAUAGGUGUUGAUACUAGAAAUAGUUGUAAACUUUCAUGUGUUUGUAGAGUAAAAUGAAAAUUAGAAUUAUUGAUCUUAGCUUUCAAAUUAGAAAUAUUGUGUUUGUUAACUGAGCUAACCAACAAGAUCUUGAACUGGCUGGGCAAUUACAUAACUGAGAAUUGAACCUUAAGACACCGAUCUCACCAGUAGCAGAGAAAGGCAAAUGAUAAGUGAGGCACUGGAUCAUGUUAAUUGUCGCCCUAUAUAUAGCAGUUUUCUGCCAGAAAUUUCAGUCGACUCUGGAGGCCUACAGUUCUCACAUCGGAACAGCAUAAGCUUUUUCUUUUCAAUCGGAAGGUGCUGAGAACUUUUAGGACAGUCAUCAUAACUGAAGGAAGAAAAAAGAUGGAAAGACAGUGACGGAGGGCAAUGAGAAGCUUAAGGUUGGAAAUGUUAAUGUGUUUCGCUGCUACUAUGACCAUGGAGAAGAAAAUAGGAACUCAGGAUGGAUCUUUGUCGUAAGCGUUCUAGAGAAGAAGAGGCGGAGGAGGAUGAAGAAAGGAUAGGGAAAAUGAAAGCCUUUUUGGCUGAUGUAACUGGAUUUAUAGCAGCAAUAGUAGCUUGGUACCAUUGUAAGUUACUCACAAGAAGAGAGCCCUUGCCUGAUUGGGAUGAACAUAGACGAUUGUAUUUGAAUCGAUUAAGUGGAUCUGAAGUUGAGUGUAUGAAAAACUUAAGAGUCAGCAUGUAUGGAUUUUCAAAACUUUGCCAAGUCUUAUAUGACAAAGGUGGAUUACGAAGAACAAGGCAUGUAUCUAUUGAAGAAUCUGUAUUUUGCGAAAUCAACGAAGAUGAGAUUAGAACUGUUGAAGCCACUAAUGAGUGGACUGUAUUUCAUGAUCAAUUCGUGAUGGAUAUGUUUCUUGACUAUCAAAGGCAUCGACCUCAACAAGCGCAGCAAGAACAAGGAGACCUUGCAAAUGUUCCAUAAUUUCGAAGUUUUGUUCUGACGUUUAGGAUGUUAUCACUAUAAUGUUAUUUAAAUGUUGGCAUUUUAAGUCUAUGAAUUCAAGCAAUACCAAAAUCGAAUUGUGACUGUGAAAUUUCAGUUGUUGCAUUUUUCAAA